rnacentral:lncRNA from 1 species
AAAAGACUCUGGAUGCAGAUGAUGUGCUGACUAAAGACGCGGGUGAGUGUGUGAUCUGCCUGGAGGAGCUGCUGCAGGGGGACACGAUAGCCAGGCUGCCCUGCCUGUGCAUCUAUCACAAAAGCUGCAUAGACUCGUGGUUUGAAGUGAACAGAUCUUGUCCGGAACACCCUGCGGACUGACCUGCGGGCUUGCUUGCUGACUCCUCUCAAAGGACACCAAAUUGGAUGAGAGCAAGUUUGAGAGAAGAAUGAAUCAACUGCUAUCCUUCCCCUCACCCCUCAGCCCAGGAGGGAAAGGGCAUUUUCUUUUUCAUCUUUGAAAGGCAUUGUGGGUCUGUCUUUAAAGUGUUUAC